UAUGACACAUAGCCAUAGAUCCGCUAGUCACGCCAUCGUGGUAAAACUUUUUGAGAAAGUGUUGUCUUUCAAACAAAACCCGUUAAUUCCCUCUCUCGUUACUCCUCCUUUUAAAAAUGCAGCACCACCCAGUACGAUACGGUCAUACUAUCGAUCAUCAAUGAAAAAUGUCCAUACGAUAAAAUCAUCAUGCAAAAGACGGUAAUAAAACGCCACAUUUUUAUUUUUUAUCGAGCUGCCGGAAGAUUGUGCAAUAAUAUACAGAUGGAAUCAUUUUUCAAGGUUAGGUAAUUCAAACCUGCGCAAAACCUCUUUCUUGACAUACCAUCUAACGGUGGGAAUAUCAAAUUUGCCAUCCAUGAUGAACCGAACGCGGUCGACCGGUCUUAAAAAAAAUGCAUAGCCUUUAUCCAUAACGUAUCAGAUUUUUUUCCUUUUUUUUUCUUUCUUUUUGUUAAGUUUGAAAGGAAGUUGUAAAUGAGAAAACGGAGGCUCGCAACUUUGGGAUAAGCAAUCAACAGGGAAUGUCUGGGGAACAUCAGAACAGGCUGCUGCUGCUGGCACUCCCACUCGUCAAGAAGAGGCUUUUCUUGGUAAAAUUCGAUUGAUAAGGAUUUGAAAGCUCGUCACUUGGUGAAUCUAUAACGAUUCUUUCACUGACGCCGAAAAUCAAUUUUCAACAAGAUGAAAAAGAAAAAAAAAAUUCUCGUGAUGCUCCUUCAAGAAGCGGGAGAAAAAAAAAAUUCAAAAAUAGUUCAAAGUAAAGUUUUCAGAAGAGGAAGCUAUAGUCAAAGAGAAAUGAUAAGAGAGAGAACUUGAGCGCUCGUGAUCACUCUGCCUUCAGUUGCCUCUGCUCGAGCGCGGGUCUAGUUAUAGAUCCUUGGCAGUCUUGUGGGAAAGCAAGCGUGAGACAGAAUGUUGGAAUCAACGGGAGAAUUGGAUCAUACUGCGGUCAUGGAAAGUGCCAAUGUUGUUUUACCCGGUACUAGUGGACGAAAAGGCUUAUUCAUUAGCAGACGUGUGAUCGUGCUUCACCUGCUGAUUGUAUCCGCUGCUCUCAUUGCUGUGGCACUUGCUGUGCACUAUUUCGGGGUCAAGUGUCACCAUUACGACAACGACACUUCUGUGGUGCUGGAGCCAUCUACAGAAAAUCCUCCUUCUCUAAAAGCCAAUCCCGUGGUGGUGGUGGAUGUCCGUCUUCCAAAAAAUCUGCGGCCGCUACACUACGACAUCCGCCUGCUACCUUGGAUGGACGAGAGUAAUUUUACUAUCAACGGGUUCAUUCACAUUUUGAUCGAGUGCGUUGAAAACACCAACAAGAUCGUCCUACACAGCACUGACAUUGAGAUAGACCGCGUGUCUGUCAAAAUCGUCAAUAACGCUGAAAUCAUAGAGGUCGAUGAGUUCGAGGAAAAUAUUGAGCGGCAGUUUUUCAUCAUUCAUUUAAAAUCGAUUCAUUUACUUGAAGAAGGAAAUCGCUACAAUAUUUCGAUGAAUUUCACGAGCAUAUUGAACGAAAACCAACACGGAUUCUAUCGCGCUUCCUAUACAGAAUACGGCCAGAAAAAGUACAUUGCUAUGACUCAAAUGGAGCCGGUAGAUGCACGCAGAGUUUUCCCUUGUUUCGACGAACCAAGUUUCAAGGCGGAAUUCAGCAUCACUUUAGGCCGAAAACGGGACAUGAUUUCCUUGUCAAACAUGCCAAAAAUAAAAACGACCCCCAUUGAAGGAGUAUCAGAUUAUGAAUGGGAUUAUUUUGAGAGAUCUGUACCCAUGUCAAGUUACUUGGUUGCAAUGAUUAUCGCUGAUUACUCUUAUGUUGAAUCCAACGCAAGUCACAACAAUAUUACUUUCCGUGUUUGGGCUAGACAUUCUGCCAUAAAUCAAACAAAGUAUGCUCUGGAGAUGGGCCCCAAAAUGUUGCAGUUUUUUCAAGAAUACUUUGGCAUCGACUACCCACUGCCUAAACAAGAUAUGAUUGCUCUGCCAAGUUUCCAUGGAGCGAUGGAAAACUGGGGGUUAAUCACAUAUGGAGAACAGCAAUUGCUGUACGAUCCCGACAUGUCGUCAGAUUCACAUCGUGAAAUUAUAGCCCAAGUGAUUGCUCACGAGCAAGCGCACCAAUGGUUCGGCAACUUAGUAACCAUGCAGUGGUGGAACGAUUUAUGGUUGAAUGAGGGAUUUGCAUCUUACAUGUCUUACAUUGGAGCUAAUCACUUCGAACCAAACUAUCGGCUGUGUCAACAGUUCGUCAUUAAUGAGAUUCAGUCUGUCAUGGGCGUUGAUGGAUUAAUCACAUCACACCCAAUCAAUCAGCCCGUUCAUCAUCCGGACGAAAUAAAUAAAAUUUUUGACAGGAUUUCGUAUAAUAAAGGCGCAUCAAUAGUCCGAAUGUUGGCCGAGUUUUUGGGCCAUGGAACUUUCCAGCGUGGUCUCUCAUAUUAUUUAAAAUCUCGAAUGUAUGGUAACGCUGUGCAAGACGAUUUAUGGGCGGCGCUAACCUAUCAAGCUGAAUUAGAUUCGGUUCAAUUGCCAACAGAUAUAAAAACAAUCAUGGAUUCUUGGACACUCAAAAUGGGUUAUCCCGUUGUCAACGUAAUAAGGAAUUACACGUCUUCGGUUAUUACAGCUCAACAGGAACGCUUUCUAAUGAAUUCACGACAAGAGUUAAACACAACAUACCGGUGGUGGAUCCCUUUGUCUUACUCAUCAAAAGCCCACCCUGAUAUUGUCCAAUGUGGAUGGAUUCCGGAACACUCGGAUCAAGUAAACAUUUCACUUGAGGCAACCAAAAUUCAGUGGGUCAUCUUCAAUAUCGAUCAAGUUGGUUAUUAUCGUGUUAAUUAUGACCAACACAAUUGGCAUCUGAUUAUUCAGCAGCUGACGGAAGAUCCGCGUGAGAUUUCUGUGAUUAACCGGGCCCAGUUGAUUGACGAUGCCUUUAAUCUGGCUAGAACAGGUCUUCUAGAUUAUUCCAUUACUUUAAAUUUAACACACUACCUGCAGAGAGAGGUUGAGUACAUUCCGUGGAGGUCAGCCGCUUCCGGAAUAAAAUUUCUCGACUCAAUGUUGUGCCGCACGAAAAUCUACGGAAUCUUUCAAGAUUAUGUCAUCCGAAUGGUCGAUGGAUUCUUCCAUCACGUUGGUGAGUCGCAUGAUGACCAGAGAACUCUUCGUGACAAUCCGAUUCGUGCCAACACGCAAACCAUCGCUUGGCGAUUAGCUUGCCAUUUCCAGCAUUGUGGCUGCAUACAGAGAGCAACAAAGCUCUACUCCAAUUGGAUGGAUCACCCCGACCAGCAUAUCAUCCCAACUCAUUUGAAAUCUAUCGUGAGCUGUACGGCUGUGGAACAUGGUGGUAAAAAGGAAUGGGAGUUUGCGUAUUCCAAAUUCAACACUUCAAACUCCGCUACCGAAAAAGACGACAUGCUAGAGGCAAUGAGUUGCACUAAUCAAGCUUGGAUUUUGAAAAGAAUGAUUGACUGGGUCAUACAAGGGCCAUUAACCAAAAUGGACUCUAUCCAUAUGUUAAUCUAUUUGGUUCGUAAUCCACUUGGCCGUUAUCUUGCAUUUGAUUUUUUCAAAAUUCAUUGGGAUAAAAUUCUCAAGUUAAGCCUUCGUUCAGGAAUGCCCACUUUUGAAGCUUUAUUCGGCAUCGCAAUCGAAUCGUUUAACACUCAGGCUGAGCUCGAUCAAAUGAAAGAUUUUCUUGAUGGGAAGUUACAAGGACACACUGGACCCAUUUUACGCACUUUUGACCAACUGAUAGAACGAACUGAAGCAAACAUUUUUUGGAUGGAUCGUUACAAAGAAAAUAUUGUUCUGUGGUUAUCUCAAACGGCUGAAGACCUUUCUAAUUUCAUUCCCAAGUCAAGUCGACUGCCGUAGUGUUUUUGGAAAUUAUUUGAUCCUCAUUAAUGGCACUGUCAGUCUGAGACUGUUCAGACUUGAGAGACUGUUGUUGCUUUUAUUCUUUGGCGGUUGUUUUUCUCCGAAAGCACUUGUAUUGCGAACCCACCAACAUGCAGAUCGAGACAAGGAGAACAGUUUCGUUAUAUAACCUGAAACGAAGGGUUCUUGAAAAGUUGUCAACAAGGAGAAAGCUGAAAAUAGGAAGUAGCACCAUUAUGUUUCUUAUUUUGAGUUAUUACGCCUACCUGAAAAAAUAUGGGAAGAUGGCUAAACUGAAAUCAUUGAUGGAAAAUAAGCGAGCUAUUUAUAGAGAACACAUUGCAGGAGCUCACCAGACAAUGUUAGAAAAAAUCAGAGUGAAGAGGAGACAAAAAACAUUGGAUGAAAUGCUUAAGAGAAGAUAAGAUAUCAGCUACCAAAAAGCAUCAAAAAUUCUUUCAAAUCUUGGUAGGCCUUGUCAAGCUGGUCAUUCUCAAUUACAAUGUCAAAAUUCUGGGGUUCACUGCCUGAAGAACAAAGAAUCACUCUCAUUAAAUGGUGAAUAGAUUAUAAAAAAUUGUAACAUGUAUUGAAGUAUACCAUAUUCCAUCUCAGCUUUGGCUGUUAGGAGUCUUUUCUGAAGACUCUCUUCACUCUCAGUAUUUCUUCCCCUAAGUCUUUGUUCCAAGACCUCCAUUGAAGGGGGUUUCAUAAAAAUGAAAAUUGGAUUAAGAGAUGUCUCCUUUAUAAGUUUCACCCCUUGAGUAUCAAUAUCCAAAAUGCAUAUUUUAUUGCUGCGCUGAACAUCUUCCACUGCCUUUUUACUAAAUACAAAAAAGUAUUAAUAAAAUAAUAACACAUCUUAAAA